rnacentral:rRNA from 1 species
UGCCCUACGGGACGCAGCAGUAGGGAAUCUUCGGCAAUGGACGAAAGCCUGACCGAGCAACGCCGCGUGAGUGAAGAAGGUUUUCGGAUCGUAAAACUCUGUUGGUAGAGAAGAACGUUGGUGAGAAUGGAAAGCUCAUCAAGUGACGGCAACUACCCAGAAAGGGACGGCUAACUACGUGCCAGCAGCCGCGGUAAUACGUAGGUCCCGAGCGUUGUCCGGAUUUAUUGGGCGUAA